UGAGAACCAUGCUGCUGAUCUCGUCUGACUCGGAAGCUAAGCAGGGUCGGGCCUGGUUAGUACUUGGAUGGGAGAACCAAAGGGAAGAGCAGAAAAAGCUUAA
rnacentral:rRNA from 1 species